GUUCACUUUUCUCAGCUGGUUAGAGCAUGGUGCUGAAAAUGUCAAGGUUGCAGGUUUGAUGCCUGCAUGGGACA